GCACUCAUUGGGGCUUGGUCCUCGCCACGUGGUGCUGACCUGCCCUCAGAGUGAGAGAAAUGGGACUGGUUUGGGGGUGUCCUGUCCAAGUGGACACAGGAGACCACGGUUUCCAGCACAACA
ensembl:scaRNA